CGGCGUACGGGUGCGGAACACGUGUGCAACCUGCCUUUAUCAGGGGGAUAGCCUUUCGAAAGGAAGAUUAAUACCCCAUAAUAUAUUAAGUGGCAUCACUUGAUAUUGAAAACUCCGGUGGAUAGAGAUGGGCACGCGCAAGAUUAGAUAGUUGGUAGGGUAACGGCCUACCAAGUCAGUGAUCUUUAGGGGGCCUGAGAGGGUGAUCCCCCACACUGGUACUGAGACACGGACCAGACUCCUACGGGAGGCAGCAGUGAGGAAUAUUGGACAAUGGGUGAGAGCCUGAUCCAGCCAUCCCGCGUGAAGGACGACGGCCCUAUGGGUUGUAAACUUCUUUUGUAUAGGGAUAAACCUUUCCACGUGUGGAAAGCUGAAGGUACUAUACGAAUAAGCACCGGCUAACUCCGUGCCAGCAGCCGCGGUAAUACGGAGGGUGCAAGCGUUAUCCGGAUUUAUUGGGUUUAAAGGGUCCGUAGGCGGAUCUGUAAGUCAGUGGUGAAAUCUCACAGCUUAACUGUGAAACUGCCAUUGAUACUGCAGGUCUUGAGUAAAGUAGAAGUGGCUGGAAUAAGUAGUGUAGCGGUGAAAUGCAUAGAUAUUACUUAGAACACCAAUUGCGAAGGCAGGUCACUAUGUUUUAACUGACGCUGAUGGACGAAAGCGUGGGGAGCGAACAGGAUUAGAUACCCUGGUAGUCCACGCCGUAAACGAUGCUAACUCGUUUUUGGGGCUUCGGCUUCAGAGACUAAGCGAAAGUGAUAAGUUAGCCACCUGGGGAGUACGUUCGCAAGAAUGAAACUCAAAGGAAUUGACGGGGGCCCGCAACAAGCGGUGGAUUAUGUGGUUUAAUUCGAUGAUACGCGAGGAACCUUACCAAGGCUUAAAUGGGAAUUGAUCGGUUUAGAAAUAGACCUUCCUUCGGGCAAUUUUCAAGGUGCUGCAUGGUUGUCGUCAGCUCGUGCCGUGAGGUGUUAGGUUAAGUCCUGCAACGAGCGCAACCCCUGUCACUAGUUGCCAUCAUUAAGUUGGGGACUCUAGUGAGACUGCCUACGCAAGUAGAGAGGAAGGUGGGGAUGACGUCAAAUCAUCACGGCCCUUACGCCUUGGGCCACACACGUAAUACAAUGGCCGGUACAGAGGGCAGCUACACAGCGAUGUGAUGCAAAUCUCGAAAGCCGGUCUCAGUUCGGAUUGGAGUCUGCAACUCGACUCUAUGAAGCUGGAAUCGCUAGUAAUCGCGCAUCAGCCAUGGCGCGGUGAAUACGUUCCCGGGCCUUGUACACACCGCCCGUCAAGCCAUGGAAGUCUGGGUACCUGAAGUCGGUGACCGUAAAAGGAGCUGCCUAGGGUAAACAGGUAACUAGGGCUAAGUCGUAACAAGGUAGCCGUACCGGAAGGGUG
rnacentral:rRNA from 1 species